rnacentral:SRP_RNA from 1 species
GACAGGCCUCCGGAUGACGGAAUCUGGGAAACCCCGUCAGGGUCGGAAGGCAGCAGCGGUAACCCAUGUAUUUCGGGUGUUUGGAAUCGCCUGUCGGA